rnacentral:rRNA from 1 species
AUUGAACGCUGGCGGCAUGCCUUACACAUGCAAGUCGAACGGUAACGAGCCUUCGGGUGCCGACGAGUGGCGAACGGGUGAGUAAUACAUCGGAACGUGCCCGAUCGUGGGGGAUAACGAGGCGAAAGCUUUGCUAAUACCGCAUACGAUCUACGGAUGAAAGCAGGGGACCGCAAGGCCUUGCGCGGACGGAGCGGCCGAUGGCAGAUUAGGUAGUUGGUGGGAUAAAAGCUUACCAAGCCGACGAUCUGUAGCUGGUCUGAGAGGAUGAUCAGCCACACUGGGACUGAGACACGGUCCAGACUCCUACGGGAGGCAGCAGUGGGGAAUUUUGGACAAUGGGCGCAAGCCUGAUCCAGCCAUGCCGCGUGCAGGAUGAAGGCCUUCGGGUUGUAAACUGCUUUUGUACGGAACGAAAAGCCUUCUUUUAAUACAGGAGGGUCAUGACGGUACCGUAAGAAUAAGCACCGGCUAACUACGUG